rnacentral:lncRNA from 1 species
AGAAGGUCUCUCCAACUACAUCUUUCUUCUGCUAUUCUCUGCAAAUACUUUUUGGCCAAGUUUUUCAUAUUGAGGAGCAAAUACAAAAAAUUUAAGUACGAAACUCGCUUAUUUUCUAAAAAACUAUUUAUAAUGAAAAAUAUUUUGUUCCUACCAAACACACCCUAAACUGUCAGUAUUUUUAGCUCCAAUUAACUUGAUGCUCAUAUGCUUUCAUGAAUAUAUAUAUGAACAAGAAAACACCAAGCUCCAAUUACAUUAAUGCCCAUAUGCUUUCAUGCAUAUAUAUGAAUAAAAAAACACCAUAGUUGGCAGCUCUUGCUUUCAUUACAUAUCAGAAUCAGAAACUUGGAGCUCAGAUGUUUUCAAUAUUUUAUUUUCCAGGAACCUAUGGUAUGUCUCUUACUCGUCAACUUCAUUUUAUAUUCUACACUUAAAACUCUAGAUAUUUUAAUAAUUUUUUUAUAUUGUUUGAACCUUUCAAAAAUAUAUAAUCCUGUAUUCACUUCCUUCAAAUGUUUUUGAGAAUCCAACGCAAGUAAAAUAUAAAUUCUUGAAAUAUCUGAAUAAGAUAGCUUUUUUACCUUCAUUCUCUUCAAACUUAAAAGAAAAUUAAUUAGAACAACAUCAAAAAAUUGCAUAUGAAAAAUGUUGUGGUGUUUUUUUUGCAGUAUUGUAUCUUAUAUAAUUAACAUUGCUUUUCUGUCAAAACUUCAAUAGGUGCUAAGUCGACCAUUCAACUCGGCACGUUAAUGGCAGCCGUAUCAUAUGCCUGGAU